UACGUAGGUGGCAAGCGUUGUCCGGAUUUACUGGGCGUAAAGAGCGCGCAGGCGGUCGUUCAAGUCGCGUGUGAAAGCCCCCGGCUCAACUGGGGAGGGUCACGCGAUACUGAUCGACUCGAAGGCAGGAGAGGGAAGUGGAAUUCCCGGUGUAGUGGUGAAAUGCGUAGAUAUCGGGAGGAACACCAGUGGCGAAGGCGACUUCCUGGCCUGUUCUUGACUGCUGAGGCGCGAAAGCUAGGGGCAAACGGG
rnacentral:rRNA from 1 species